rnacentral:lncRNA from 1 species
UAUACUUUUAAAGUUUACACAGAUUAUAAAUAAUUUGACCAAAAAAUAUAAUUUUAUUCUGUUUGAUCCUCCCCACUACCUACCUUUUUUUGAGGGGUGUUGGGGGGGGGGGUUACCGGGUAUUGAACUCAGGGGCACUCAAUCACUGAGCCACAUCCCCAGCCCUAUAUUGUAUUGUAUUUAGAGACAGGGUCUCACUGAGUUGCUUAGUGCAUUGCUUUUGCUGAGGUUUGCUUUGAACUCAAGAUCCUCCUUCCUCAGCCUCGAGAGCCGCUGGGAUUACCACCAUGCCGGGCCUACUACCUGCUUUUUAAAUGAAAGAAUGAGAAGUAUUCUGUGUUCAGUGAGCAGAUGGUUAAAAGUAGAAAUUCAUUUGGAAGACUUUUUUGAAAUGUAUAUGAAAGGGGAAAAUUAUUUGUUGAUUUGGUAGAGGAUUUGCCACUUCUCAGUAAAUACAACCUUUUGAAUAGCAGUAAAAGACGUGUAAAUUUAGAGAUUUAGAAUAAAGGAACAGAUUUCACUUUUUGUAAAGCAUUCCUAAUGAGGAUGCCUUUCCCAUCUCUUGCCAAGACUACUUUUCUAUCAUAUACUUGUUUCUUGAUUGUCACAUGUCAUUCUUUAGUCAAUUUCCACCCAUCUUAGGCUCCUUUGUUUACUUAGGCUUUGAUCCUCUCCUAUAACUUGCUUUGUUGCAAUUCCCUUUCUUGAGGUUCUAGUUUAAUCAAGGCUAGAUGAGAGUAUAGAGCAAAUGGGCCUGGCCAGAGCCUGACAGUCUGCUGUUGCUAGGUGGCGUGAGGGGAGCCAACAGCAAGAUGAAAGCCCCUCCAGAGAAUCCAAGAGGCCUUCCUCUACUACAGUCUUGCUUCAAUCCACUGAACAUUUGGGUGUCUCUUCUGUGGGUGGUCAGAAGGAAAAGAGAUUGGCCAACCCUUAGGUUAGAGACAAAGGAGAUGUUUCUCUUGGAUUUGUCCCAUGGGCAGUUUACUAGCAUGGAGAACACAAUCUUCCCAAUACAGCUAGUUCACACAUACAACUUGGUGCCAUUACUGAAAUCACUGUUCAGCUGUGCAUAAAUCAUGCUGACCUAGAGUGCACUGAAUUUUGAAAGAACAAGGCUAAAUUUAUAAAAGCUGUUCCCUUUUGUCAGAGAAAAUCUAAUUUAUGUACCUGCAAGUUUAUAAUGCUCCAUAACCGUUGGCCCAUAUUUGUUUACCUUGGUAGCCAUAGAGAAAAGGAGGCUAAAACCUUAAAGAGAAGGGAAUUCUGUGGUGAGACAGUAUAGUGUACUGAUUAGGAACACAGACCUGCCUGCAUAAGCUUCUUUGUUUCCACCAGUUAUGACAGUGAUCUUGAGAAAGUUCCCACGCCUGUGAAACAGUAAUGAUAUUAGUGUGUGUGUGGUUCCUACAAAGCACCUGACACCAAGUACUCAAUAAAUGCAACUGCUAGUUUUACAAUUGCAAUAAGCUGUCUCUUGCAGGCUAGUAACAUUAUAGACCAAAAAAAGUUAACAAGUCAGCCUUGAAUGGGAAUUUUCACAUUUUUACCUUUUGGGAUCAAAACAUUCCUUUUACAGCAAAGUCUAUUUGAAAUCUUAAUGUUUGACUUUCAUGUUUUCCAUGAUGCCUGCUACUGCUGCUAGAGCUUGGAAGUGUCAUGGUGGGAUGAACGAACUCAACUCAGUCUUGGCACCAAUGAAUCCCCUUCCAGAGCGUAGCCUUCUCAGUGAAUAAUGGAAUAAACUGGACAAGUUGGAAGUCUAUGUUUGUUUUCUGUAAAUAUAGUCCUCCAACAGAGGAGGGUAAUGCUCAGCCCUGAGAGUGUGAAUGAGCCUGAGUUCUCUUAUCCUAAAACUUAACGCAAAUUUUGCAUUUUAUCAUGUCAGAUGUUGAUAAGAACAUAGAAAUCUUUUAAAUUACUUUCAAUUUCAGUUCCAAAAGCUGUUUAGUUUAUGUAUACCUCUGUGCAUCAGAGGCCUGAUUGGAGAAAUACUUUGUUUUAUUUGAUAAGAACCAGAAUGAACUCCAAUGAGAAUGUCAUGGAGUCCAAGCUCUGAUCAGAAGAAAGGUUUAGAAGCAAAUAAUGCUGGGGGCUAUCAUUAGAAAUAUGUUCAGUUCAUGGAGAAAGCAGUAAUCCCUGAUUGUUGGGGAGGCCCAGGAUGGAAAGUGGAAGGGUAUUAACUAGUAUUUCCUGAGAUGCUGGGAAUGAGCUCUGGGCCGAGUCUUGCCUGCUGAUUACCUGGGAAUGUGCCCUGCCCUAAAUUGCUUUCUCUUCUCCCUUAGGGAGAGGACUUGCUCCAGACUUCUAUAGAAAUCUGAUACUUGACCAGAAUAAGAUUGAAAAACCAAUGGAAUUGUUAAUAAAGUAUCUUAGAAGGCAGUGUUAACAUUCCAUUAUGGAAAUACUCUGGAAUAGUGUUCCUUUGGUUCUAAAGCCCUGGGUGUGUUGGAUUUGGGCACAGUGACGAGUUGUGGCAACUGGAAUUUUGAGAUUGUUUUUCCUAUAUCUUAGUCAAGAAAUUUUAAGUAUAGUUUCUCAAGAAGUAUUACGUUGAGGACUUGGGGGAAAAAUCUUAAAGCUGAUAAUUUCUUACAUAAAUAGUGAGGUUUACCUUUCAGUUUGUAAAAAUUACUUACCCUGUACCAAUUUAAUAGAGGUUAAAUUGAUAUGCAUGUUAGGAUGCAUCCCAUUGACUUCUUCAGUUUUUCCAAAUUGCUCUUUUACCAUAUGUUACUUUUUGCCUUUCAUAGAGCUUGAGAGGAGCAAAAAUUAUUUAUUUGCCAGAGAGUUUAAGAUAAAGAAAUGACAGUGAAUAGGACUAAUGAAAAGUGAGGAUUAUAUACCAGGAAUAAACAGGUAACCAUUGAUUUACAUUUUGUAUACUGACACAUUUCCUUGGUUGAGAAAGAGAUUAAGUAUAUUUGAAUGUGUGGUUUAAUAUGGUAAUAGCAAAGAGUAAUUAGUAGCAACAAGAAGAGGCUGCCCUUCCUUUUCUGGCUACACAGGGGCAAGUGGUUAUAGAUUAUGACCAUGAGUAUUAGC